GGGGAUACAGCUCAGUUGGUAGAGUGUUGCCUCACAUGCACAAGGCAUUAAGUCCUGGUUUCAAUCUCCAGUAUACAUA
rnacentral:tRNA from 1 species